AACAGGACAUAUAAGGGUAUAUGUGUGGAUGCCUCGACAUGAUGUGGCGAUGAAGGACGCGGCGUGACUGCGAUAAGCCUCGGGGAGCCGUCGAGCAGGCGUUGAUCCGGGGAUUUCCGAAUGGGGAAACCCAGUGCGGCAAACCCGCAUUAUCCGCCCAGAUUUUUGGACUUUUAAAUUUAAGUAGGGAGUUCCACACGGGAACUCCCUACAGCUACGAUGACUACUCGCGUUCGAGAACGAAUAUGAGCGUGGUAUGAACUACAGUGCUGGGAUGCCCCUCUUGUGCUUUCACUGGAUAAGCUACUACAGAGGGAGGGGUAACUGAGACGACCCUGUAACCUUCCGCGAGAAGCGAAGAGACCAUGUCGUCAACCCUGUCCUGGAGAGUAAAAUCGUAGCUCGUAGUGUGCACGACUGUUAUAACCUCCUGUGUUGGCAUGUUUCUCUCCUUUCAUUGGUUUGUGUUUUAACACCCCAACAACACUCUAAAUAAAGUAGAGCAUUACUAGAUUUAUUUGUCAAGAGUCCAAAAAUCUGGGCGGAGGCGAACCCGCUGAAGUGAAACAUCUCAGUAAGCGGAGGAAAAGAGAACAAUCGUUUAUUCCCUGAGUAGCGGCGAGCGAAACGGGAAGAGCCCAAACC
rnacentral:rRNA from 1 species